rnacentral:rRNA from 1 species
AGUGAACGCUGGCGGUAGGCCUAACACAUGCAAGUCGAACGGCAGCACAGUAAGAGCUUGCUCUUACGGGUGGCGAGUGGCGGACGAGUGAGGAAUACAUCGGAAUCUACUUUUUCGUGGGGGAUAACGUAGGGAAACUUACGCUAAUACCGCAUACGACCUACGGGUGAAAGCAGGGGAUCUUCGGACCUUGCGCGGUUGAAUGAGCCGAUGUCGGAUUAGCUAGUUGGCGGGGUAAAGGCCCACCAAGGCGACGAUCCGUAGCUGGUCUGAGAGGAUGAUCAGCCACACUGGAACUGAGACACGGUCCAGACUCCUACGGGAGGCAGCAGUGGGGAAUAUUGGACAAUGGGCGCAAGCCUGAUCCAGCCAUACCGCGUGGGUGAAGAAGGCCUUCGGGUUGUAAAGCCCUUUUGUUGGGAAAGAAAAGCAGCAGGUUAAUACCCCGCUGUUCUGACGGUACCCAAAGAAUAAGCACCGGCUAACUUCGUG